CCCUGUGACCAGGUACUCAUUCUUUGGACCCUGCCUUCCUGCGAACUCCUCAUGGGCAGGUGAAGACAGCCACGUUUCAACUGAGGAAUGAGACCCUUUACAGGACCCUUAAAGCUUGAUUUGGUGGCUCUCGGCCAUGCUUUAAAGACAGAAAUAGGAUAAACAGAAAAGAAUGUAGGAGUUCACCACACACUGUCAAGAGAACCAGUUCUGUCCACAGAGCAUCUUUUUGUGGCCUUGCGAAGAGGAUAUCAGAGUGUUUCGCUGGUCUUCUGUCUUUCCAAGCUGACAGAGGCAUUUAUUAGUCUGACCAAGUGUCCCUUGAGGCAGUCUUCACUCAGAUGCUGCAAAUGAAGAGGUUGACUCUAAGGUAGACACUGUCACUUGGGACCUUUAGAACAAUACAGGCCUUCCAGAAAUGGGUCUUUUAACAUCACUGACGUGAAGAACAGCCAGACUUAAGAAACAUAUAUGCUCAUGACUGAGGUGACAGCAAAUUAAGGCAACAGAUGACAGGACUACCCUGAGCUGGGCAGAUGACAAGACUUUCAUGACCCUGCAGUCUAUGGGAAUGGGAGCUGGUACAGUCAUUUGGAAAAGAAAGUAGAGGUAGCUAUUAAAAUAAAAAUAUAUGCAUCCCCGGAUCAAGCAAGUCUCACUUUUGAGAGACUGUCUGUUCAAAAGAAAAGCACCAGACUUAUGAAUGUGUGUUCCAUGGUGUUUAUUACAGUGCUAACGAGGAAACACUGGGGCCAUAAUGAGUGCCUGUCAGUACGGGAAUGGUGAAUAAAUUAUGAGAUGUUCAUCCCAUGUGAUAUUAAGAAAAAGAACUGGCCUCACACCAGAAGAAACAACACCUCCAAUUAAAGGUAUUGGUACCAGCUCUGGAGUUGGACUGAUUCAUCUACAAGAUGCAGAAAGUGCUGGCAAGCUGACCUGUGGUCCUCCUGACUCUAAAGGGUAUGGUGACUGGAGGAAGACAGAUGUGCAUCCAGCUGCAGCUAGAAAGGAAACCUGUGUAAGGUGAUACAGGAGCUUUGUGUUGAUGCAGUUCAUCAGCUGGGAGGUUUUGUCUAAAACUGCAACUGAAGUUGUCUUAACAAUUAUCAUUGAACAUAACUGAACAUCCAGUUUCUGGUACUGAGUGACACAUCAAGGUCCCAGUUUCUUUCUAUCCUUCCAGUGUUGGCUUCAUUCUCAGGGUGUGAGUAAGGAGGAAUGGUGGGCAAAGCAUUUAAAUAUCAUAUGUUUAGAAGAGGAGGAGAAAGCAUUUCUUUCUGUGUCUUCACAGGGUGAAGAAACUUCUGCUAGAAGUCCAGCAGCCAACAUCUCAUCAGCCAUAUGUGGGUUAUGUGCCUCUCCUGGACCAGUCACUGUCAAGCAGAACAGAAUGGUCCUCAAACCCUGGAGCACAUAAGAGAUGAGCCUUUCUCAGGGUCCAGGCACCCAUGGGAAAAGAGACCUGAGCUAGGUCACAGUGAUCUGAGAAGUGGGGAAAAGGAUGGUUCUGGGUAGAAGCCAACAAUGCCUACCAGAGGCACUCAAAUAUGCAUAGCAGCCAGGAACACUUUACACAGGUUGCAGCUGUGUUAGCAUCCUGAACUGAGAUGUCAGCCUUGAUAGGUAGUAAUCGAGAUGACAUGGGUUUGGUGGUGAAGGGUAGAUUAAGCAGAGGGAAGAACAGGGUAAGACAAAAGGACUAAAAGGCAAAAGGACUCAAAGCAGCAAUAGAUUGGCUUCCUCCCAAGAUGAGUAGCAGGAACUGGUUUUGUUCCCCAACCUGGGGUAAUCUAUGAAACCUGAGAAAAGACAUGAAUGCUAGACAUCAAGGCAUACACAGUGACCUCUGAGAGAUGAGACUUAAUAAUUGUUCAGCUUACUCUUUUGACAGUGUUUUCAGGUGAUGACACAGAGAGAAGGGGGGAUUGAAAAAGAAAAUAUUUUUAUGUUCCUUCAUUGUCAGGGCUUUCUGAACAAAUUUUACUGAAAUUUGGAAUCUGACCUGAGAACAAAUCUUGGAAGUUAAUUUACAACUAUAUAGAUAGUGGGAACUCCAGGGAGAUUUACCUAACCCCAGAGAUAUGUGUUUAUAUCUCAAGAGGGAAUUGGAGACAUCUCUGAGUUGUAAAACUGGAGUCAGUGGGAUUAUCUGUUCUCUGGAGAGAUUUAUUUACAUUCCGAAAGGAUGGAGUAAGACUUUUGCAAGGAGAGUCCCCCAGAAGCAGAAAGAGAGGCAACUGACUCUUUCUCUUAUACACAAGACAGAAAUUGAUUUUUUUCUGUUGUUCUUUACCUAAAGGAUGGGGCUGUCACUCACGGAAAACAGUUUUUCUUAUCUGGUUCUCAUUUUGUCGCUCUGGAGACAUGGGGGAUGAUGUUGCACCAUUACUCUGACUACUGAUCUUGCUGUGUGUAUAAUAAGAAAUUGCCUUUGAUCGAAAAUUUCAGUGUGCAUUAAGGACAAAAUUAAUGAGACUAUUACAAUAUAAUGAGAAGUAUCAAGGCAGAGUUUGGCAGACAUCCUAAGUCAGAGAGUCUGGAAUAGAGAGUUUGGGGAGAACAAGCCUAGCAUGUACAAGACCAACUAGAAGUGGGUACACACACACACACAGAGAGAGAGAGAGAGAGAGAGCGAGAUCCCUGAACAUUGGCAGCAGCUUCUCUGUUCAUAAUCAGCAGAUUACUGUGCAAAGUGUUUGUGUGAAGAAACCACUCAAAAGUGAAGAAAAACAAUUCAAAAGGACUUUUUAAAAGUACCAGGCAUUUACAUAG
rnacentral:lncRNA from 1 species